CUGGUUUUCUUUCCUAAGAGUUAUUGUUUCUGGCAACGACCACACUCCAGCAGGCUCAGGCCUGAGCUGAUGAAUGGGACAACCUGAUGACCACCACAAAGUUGCGUCUGCUCCCAUCCAGCUAAUCCGAGGGCUCUCAGACAGACUGUGACUAAUGGGGACAUCUGAGGGCAGAACGUUCGAAGGCCAAGGAGGAACAAGUCCAGACAAAGUGUGAGCACACACAUCUGGAGGGCUGGGGAGCCCAUGUCACAUUCCUGGCUGGACUUUGGACUCCAGGAGGAAGGCUUCAGGUUGGGCUUGCUCAGGCUGAGGCAGUUUGGGAGAGUGGGAGUGCAGGGAACUUGGGCAUCUGAAUGCCCGGGUUUGAAUUCCACAUCUGUUGCUUUUUGGCUCUGAGAGCUCUGGCAAGUUAUGUAGCCUCCCUGGGCCUUGGUUUCUGCUUCUUUAAAAUGGGGUUAACAAUGAAGAUUGGUGUAAGAAUCACAUAUAAAGGUGCUGUCAAGAAAUCUGGUUGAAGGCUGGACAUGAUGGCUCAUGCCUGUAAUCUCAGCACCUUGGGAGGUUGAGGUGGGAGGAUCACUUGAGGCCGGGGCUUCAAGAAGAGCUUGGGUAAGACUGUAGCCAUAGCCAUAGCAAGAAUCUGUCUCUAUUUAAAAAAGAAGAAGAAGAAAAAAGGAAUGGAAAUAAAUUAAUUAAAUGGAA
rnacentral:lncRNA from 10 species